UACGGAGGGUGCAAGCGUUGUUCGGAAUCAUUGGGCGUAAAGCGCGAGUAGGCGGCCUAGUAAGUCUGGUGUGAAAGCCCGGGGCUUAACUCCGGAAGUGCAUUGGAUACUGCUGGGCUAGAGGACGAGAGAGGAAAGCGGAAUUCCUGGUGUAGGGGUGAAAUCCGUAGAUAUCAGGAGGAACAUCGGAGGCGAAGGCGGCUUUCUGGCUCGUUACUGACGCUGAGACGCGAAAGCGUGGGGAGCAAACAGG
rnacentral:rRNA from 1 species